rnacentral:rRNA from 1 species
CGUAGUCGAUGGGAAACGGGUUAAUAUUCCCGUACUUGGUGUUACUGCGAAGGGGGGACGGAGAAGGCUAUGUUGGCCGGGCGACGGUUGUCCCGGUUUAAGCGUGUAGGUGUGUGUUCCAGGUAAAUCCGGUUCACUUUAACACUGAGGCGUGACGACGAGGCACUACGGUGCUGAAGCAACAAAUGCCCUGCUUCCAGGAAAAGCCUCUAAGCAUCAGGUAACAUCAAAUCGUACCCCAAACCGACACAGGUGGUCAGGUAGAGAAUACCAAGGCGCUUGAGAGAACUCGGGUGAAGGAACUAGGCAAAAUGGUGCCGUAACUUCGGGAGAAGGCACGCUGACACGUAGGUGAAGUGAUUUACUCAUGGAGCUGAAGUCAGUCGAAGAUACCAGCUGGCUGCAACUGUUUAUUAAAAACACAGCACUGUGCAAACACGAAAGUGGACGUAUACGGUGUGACGCCUGCCCGGUGCCGGAAGGUUAAUUGAUGGGGUCAGCGCAAGCGAAGCUCCUGAUCGAAGCCCCGGUAAACGGCGGCCGUAACUAUAACGGUCCUAAGGUAGCGAAAUUCCUUGUCGGGUAAGUUCCGACCUGCACGAAUGGCGUAAUGAUGGCCAGGCUGUCUCCACCCGAGACUCAGUGAAAUUGAACUCGCUGUGAAGAUGCAGUGUACCCGCGGCAAGACGGAAAGACCCCGUGAACCUUUACUAUAGCUUGACACUGAACAUUGAGCCUUGAUGUGUAGGAUAGGUGGGAGGCUUUGAAGUGUGGACGCCAGUCUGCAUGGAGCCGACCUUGAAAUACCACCCUUUAAUGUUUGAUGUUCUAACGUGGACCCGUUACCCGGGUUGCGGACAGUGUCUGGUGGGUAGUUUGACUGGGGCGGUCUCCUCCUAAAGAGUAACGGAGGAGCACGAAGGUUGGCUAAUCCUGGUCGGACAUCAGGAGGUUAGUGCAAUGGCAUAAGCCAGCUUGACUGCGAGCGUGACGGCGCGAGCAGGUGCGAAAGCAGGUCAUAGUGAUCCGGUGGUUCUGAAUGGAAGGGCCAUCGCUCAACGGAUAAAAGGUACUCCGGGGAUAACAGGCUGAUACCGCCCAAGAGUUCAUAUCGACGGCGGUGUUUGGCACCUCGAUGUCGGCUCAUCACAUCCUGGGGCUGAAGUAGGUCCCAAGGGUAUGGCUGUUCGCCAUUUAAAGUGGUACGCGAGCUGGGUUUAGAACGUCGUGAGACAGUUCGGUCCCUAUCUGCCGUGGGCGCUGGAGAACUGAGGGGGGCUGCUCCUAGUACGAGAGGACCGGAGUGGACGCAUCACUGGUGUUCGGGUUGUCAUGCCAAUGGCACUGCCCGGUAGCUAAAUGCGGAAGAGAUAAGUGCUGAAAGCAUCUAAGCACGAAACUUGCCCCGAG